ensembl:lncRNA
AAAUGGCCUAGUCAUUCGCCGUACGGCACAGAUUCAAACAUGGCCGCCCCCAGAAAGAGGUUGUCAAGCAGGCGCGGCCAUCAUACCUGCCGUUAAAAUUCAGAAACCCAGAAUCCUGUUCUCUGGAAGAUUGCCAGGUGGCGGCCGACAGCCUCAAAGUUGCGACUGAGUCUGCGCACGGCCACUCCGGAUGGGAAAUGCUCAUACCGCGGAGAGGCGGCGUGGUGCGGCAGUUUCAGGUUAUGGGCGCGGAUGCGGGGAAAAUGGGAAAGGUCAGUGUGAGAAACAGCCCAAAUUCAGGACCUGUGUAGGAGAGCGACCAGACGGCUACGGUGGCCCAACUGGGUUCUUUCUGGAAAAUGUAAUGACACGUCCAUCUGUGACAGCAUCCCAAGAGUCAGCCUGGUUUCUGGAAAUCUGUUCUGACUCCAUGGCAGCUAGGAUGGAUGUAACUUUGCCUGUGGUUAGAAAACAAAGAGUUUACUGAGUAAUUUGGAACGGGACCUCAGAGCCCCCUGGUCAAAAUCUCUUAGCCUUUGGAGACUGACCGUUGGCUGCAGAGACUGAAUAAUGCAGCUUGAAAAAGAGCCUGCAGGGAAUCCCUGGCGGUUCAGUGGACAGGACUCGGCACUUUCACUGCCGUGGCCCGGGUUUGAUCCCUGGUCAGGGAACUAAGAUACUGCAAGCAGCGGGGCAUGGCCAAAAAAAAAAAAAAGCCUCCAUGUGGUUGCCUGCCUCCAUUUGACAGCUUCCUGAGUGCCCUGUACACCUUUGGGUCCCACCACCUCGCUGGACAGCAGGGCUCUCCGUGGGGCCCACAGGACCUUGGACACGUCUACAGGAAGCCCUGUCAGCAGCUGCAGCUGAGGGCCGCAGAUCUUUUUCCAAGAACAACAGAAAAUGAUCGAGUACCAGGUAAGUGUGACAUUAACGAGCCAACUUUCGGGACUUCCUUGGUGGUCCAGUGGUUAAGACUCCAUGCUUCCAAUGCAGGGGGUGCGGGUUCGAUCCCUGGUCGGGGAACUAAGAUCCCACAUGCCGCACGGUGUGGCCAAAAAACAAAAAAAUGAGCCUACUUUCCCUUCUUGGGGAAACUGUUCUAGAAAAAAAUAUAUGCAUUUCAACCACAUAUGCCUUGUCAUAGGCUGGAUUCUCAGGAAAACAAACUUGGGGAUGGAAAUUUGCACACAGAAGGUUUACUAGGGAGGCUCUUGGAACACCUGUAAGUCAGUGAAGGAAGCAAGGUGGGCAGAGGGAGUUGUUGAACAGAGACAUCAGCUGAUCUUAUAAGAUGCUCUGGAGCUGGGAUGGUCCUCAGUGUUGUCCUGAAUGGAGGCAAGGAGGCCUUUGUAUUCUGAAAUCAACCAGUCAUUGGUUGUAGGCUGCCCCAGGGAGGGGACAUAAACUUGGGUGGGGUCGCUCCCUUUGGCCAAGGGAAAUUCUCUAAAGGUUUCACGCCGGCAACAGCCAGCCAUCUCCUAGCAGCUGGGAGAAGAACCUCAGUACUGCAGGGAGAUUUGGGUGGAAUACCACAGCCUCUCUAUACACAUAGACACAAUGGCCAGAUACUUAUUACACAUACUACUCUACCCUUUUUUCCCAAUUAAAAUAUCCUAGAGAUUGUACCAUGUUAGUACUAAGAACCAUGCCUUUUUUUAAAAAAUAAUGUACAUAAUGCUCCAUCAUAUGCAUGGAAUACUUAACCCAUCCCCCAUAUUAUGGACAUUUCGGUAGUUUCCAAAUUUGAUAUUUUAAGCAAUGAUGCAAGGAACAUUCUUUGUUGGAAUACAGAUGUACAAGGGGAGAGUCCAGUGAGAGUCAACUGUUGACUUCCUGGUAGCCCAGCAAAAAGGCAAACACAGCCCAUGACUUGCAUUGGCUAUAAGGAAGAAGUGUAUUGUUAUUUCCAAGAGAAAACUAGCUUUCCAGGGCACUUCUUUUUUAAGAAGUGUCUUAGACAUUGAUGUUCCUGUGGGUUUGAACCUUCUCUGGGGCCUCUGGGGGUGGUUUCGUCCACUCUUAGGUUGAUGCUGGUGCGUCUGCAAGUGACUCCCACAUCUAUACCUAAGCUGAGGCCUCCUCUGAGAGCUUCAGACCCCUUUGCCCAACAUCUGCACCUGGCUGCCCCAGAGCACUUCAGAUUUAAUGUGUACAAAGUUGAACUCUUGAUUUCUGUCUCCUCUUCCCUGUUUCUCAUCUCAGGAGAUGAUACCAUCCCACCAGGCAAGCCAAGACCCUGAGAUUUUCCCUUGACUUCUCCCCACCUUCCACCUCUCACACUCAGUCACCAAGUCUUGCUGAUUUUACAGCCUCAGUGUUUCUUCCAUCUCUCUCCUCUUCAUCCCUGUGUUUGGUGAAAAAGACAUGGCCUUUUAGGUGCAGGAUUACGUCUUUUCUGCUUUGCUCUGUUCUAUUCCCUCCCAUUCUGUUUCAUCCUAUCCUAUCCCACUCCACCCCAUCCCAUCCCAUUCCAGUUAGCUCUUUUUGGGAAAUACUGCCCAGAACCUGUUGCCGAGCCAAGUCCUGUGCUCUGUGAUGAAGGCUGACUGCUGCUCACGCACUACCACAGUACGUUGUUCUGGCAUCAGAGAGGGAGUCUAGUUGGACCUCCUUUGCAUGGGUCUUAGGGUCUCACGUGCCAGCUUCCAUGGCCUCCACCCUGGUUUUGGCCCUGCCUUCAGAUCCAUCUGCCUGGGCCACUACUCAAGUGCUACUGUUGCAGGAAAAAAGAGCGGGGUACGAGAGGGUGGUCACAUCCCAGGUCUCAGGUGAGUCCCUGGGACGGCUGUCAAGUGUGGGUUCUUGGCUUCGCGCAGGAAAGAAUUCAAGAGCAAGCCACAGUAAAGUGAAAGGAGGUUUAUUCAGGGAGAUACACACUCCACAGACAGAGUGUGGGCCAUCUCAGGAGGCGAGAAGCACCAGGGUAUGUACGGGGACUGUCAGUUUUUAUAGGGGUGGGUAAUCUCAUAGGCUAGUAAGUGGGAGGAUUAUUCCAACUAUUUUAGGGAAGGGGCAGAGAUUACCAGGAAUUGGGCCACCACCCACUUUUUGGCCUUUUAUGGUCCACCUUGGAACUGUUAAUGGCACCUAUGGGUGUGUCAUUUAGCUUGCUGUUGUAUUACAAUAAGCAUAUACUGAGGUAUACUGAGGCUCAAGGUCUAGUGGAAAUCAGUCAUCCACCAUCUUGGACCUAGUUGGUUCUAACCAGUUUAUGUCGUGUCCCCAAUGGCUGUCAUUCUUUUAAAGGUUGUGCCCUGCCCCCUUCCUGUCUCACCACCUUAGGACCCAGCAUUCUUCAAGGAAACCUACAGCCUCCUGAGAGUGGAGAGUGGCUGCUCUCAGCCCUUUCACCUCUGUGGGGCCCUAUCAGUGCUUUUUCCCUCCGGCCACUCCCAGAGAUAGUGGGCCAGUGCCACUGGCACUGUGUGGUGCACUAGGGCUCUCCACCCCACUGACACCCAGGCACAGGUCCUGGGUGCCCCCCCCACCUU